AAUUAUCAAGCCAUAAUUAAGUGUUGUUUGACAACUUUUGAUUUUGGCUUGGAUGUUGGGAGUUUGCUGGCGUCAUUUUUGAAGCUGGCUCUUCUUAAUAGCAUUAGCAGAAUCUCUGAGCAAUUAGCAGUGUGAUAAUUAUCAAUACUGUGGUUAAUGCUCCAGAGGUAUUCAGCUUUAUUUGUUGAAGUGGGGUCAAGCUUGGGUUUCUCAACUUUGAUAUCCAUGGAUGUUUUGACA
rnacentral:misc_RNA from 1 species